rnacentral:tRNA from 1 species
GGAGAGGUGGCUGAGUGGCUUAAAGCAGUGGUUUGCUAAACCGCCGUACCCCUACAAGGGUACCGGGGGUUCGAAUCCCCCCUUCUCCGCCA